ACAGAUGAAAAAUAAUUCUGAAAUCUGUCGUCCUAAUGUCAAAACAAAAUUCAAUACGAACAUUUAUCGUGAAAUAAUGAAUUAAGAAAUAUUUCAGUUCUAUUCCGAACAGGCAGGUCGUUGAAAAUAGUAAAGUAAAACAACUAAAAAAAGUAAUGUCUGAAUUAAAGAAAGCUUAACUGACAUGGGUUAGGUGUAAGAACAGCAAAAUAUGGCAGUUGGGAAACGACCCAAGAGACCUAGCAAAAGUGAUUCGAAGGUGAAAUCACCUUCUGCAACAAAAGAAACUAAACCGGUAAACAGGGAAUCAAUAAGCACUCCGAAAGGAGCUUCAAUAACGAAACCUUCGAAAGUAGAACCCGGGGCUACUCCAAAAGUGGAACCCGAAACCACUCCAAAAGUAGAACCCGUAACUACUCCAAAAGUAGAACCAGAUAUUCCUGUUGUACCAACAAAUAACGCAAUGGAUUCAACACCUAAAGCUUCCAACACUGAAUCAAAGAAAUUCGGAGCCAAAUCUUCUAAGAAAGCGAAAAGUGAGAGUGGUGUUAUAUGCGCUUGUCAUCCAGAAACAGGUGGUAGUGGAGAGGACGGAAAAGAUGUAGGGACGGCAUGCUGUGAUUAUUUGUCAAAGGGGUGUAGGCGUUGUAACGUAGAUGUUAAAACCCUAGCGUCGGGAGUCGCAAUAGGCAUACUGACUUUGUGCUUUAUAAAAUGGUGCUGGGUUUGCUGGUGCCGAAGAUCCUGCCGGAGACGACGCCCAGUACAAACUUGCGGCUACUCUGGCUUCUGCGCUGUGUUCAUGCCACUCAUAUAUGCUCUGCUUUAAUUACAACCACGCUAACUAUAAAGAUGCUGCAAGUUUACUAUCAACCUUCAUAGAUAAAGAUGGAGAAACUACCGUAAAAGAGGACAAUGGAAAACUUUGGAAAAGAAAAGGAUUAAGAAACAAGAAAUAAUAAAUAGUGGUGUGAAAACACUAGAGUUUUCGUCAUGGGUUAGACUGAAGUGUUAAAAUGGUUAAAACUGUGACCCAAAAGACCUCGACCAAGGGCAAUGUGAAUUGCGCCUGCUUCUACUCGGCUUCUCUAGCUGCCAAAGCGAAGAAGACUGCAACAUACAGCGUAAUACUUGGACUACUGGCCCUGCUCGGCUGGUACUUAUACGUACACUUUUAUAAAGGCAAUUGCGAUCGGUGUUGUCGAAGACAAUGCCGAUUUGGAGGUGUACGCUGUUGUUGCUUGCCUGAUCGACGACGACGAUAACAAUCAUACAAAAUGAACAAGACACGACGAUGUAACAAGAACACAACUCAGUCCAUGACAUUUCAAUAGUCCAGAAACACCUUCAAAUAAUAUUCAAAAUAAAUAGUUAAAUGUUUGUUAUGAAAAUGUCUUUUUACCACACCAAAAUGAUUACAAUAAAGUAGUUUGAAAACUUA